GACGAACGCUGGCGGCGUGCUUAACACAUGCAAGUCGAACGGAAAGGCCUCUUUCGGGGGGUACUCGAGUGGCGAACGGGUGAGUAACACGUGAGUAACCUGCCCUUGACUUUGGGAUAACUUCAGGAAACUGGGGCUAAUACCGGAUAGGAGCUCCUGCUGCAUGGUGGGGGUUGGAAAGUUUCGGCGGUUGGGGAUGGACUCGCGGCUUAUCAGCUUGUUGGUGGGGUAGUGGCUUACCAAGGCUUUGACGGGUAGCCGGCCUGAGAGGGUGACCGGCCAUAUUGGGACUGAGAUACGGCCCAGACUCCUACGGGAGGCAGCAGUGGGGAAUAUUGCACAAUGGGUGGAAGCCUGAUGCAGCAAGGCCGUGUGCGGGAUGACGGCCUUCGGGUUGUAAACCGCUUUCGCUCAUGACGAAGCUUUGUGUGACGGUAGUGGGUAAAGAAGCACCGGCUAACUACGUG
rnacentral:rRNA from 1 species